GACGAACGCUGGCGGCGUGCUUAACACAUGCAAGUCGAACGGAAAGGCCCUGCUUUUGUGGGGUGCUCGAGUAGCGAACGGGUGAGUAACACGUGAGUAACCUGCCCUUGACUUUGGGAUAACUUCAGGAAACUGGGGCUAAUACCGGAUAGGAGCUCCUGCUGCAUGGUGGGGGUUGGAAAGUUUCGGCGGUUGGGGAUGGACUCGCGGCUUAUCAGCUUGUUGGUGGGGUAGUGGCUUACCAAGGCUUUGACGGGUAGCCGGCCUGAGAGGGUGACCGGCCACAUUGGGACUGAGAUACGGCCCAGACUCCUACGGGAGGCAGCAGUGGGGAAUAUUGCACAAUGGGCGGAAGCCUGAUGCAGCAACGCCGCGUGCGGGAUGACGGCCUUCGGGUUGUAUACCGCUUUCGCCUGUGACGAAGCGUGAGUGACGGUAAUGGGUAAAGAAGCACCGGCUAACUACGUG
rnacentral:rRNA from 1 species